AACUGUUGUAAGGAGGCGCAACGCCAACGAGUCGGUGACUAUUGUUUAAUUUCCUUUUUCUAUAUAAAAUAUAUAUAACUGUCGUUUUUUAAGUUCCGAUCCUUUCCCCACAGGUCUUAUAACCCCAAAAAUAGAUUAUGUCCACUGCUAAUUCAAUCAACCAGCUACAUCUAACUAGGGGCGAAGUUGGAAUUUACAAAAGAAGGGAUCAAACUAAUAAUUUAAGGAAUAAUAUAUAAUUAUUUUUCAAUUUUAUCCUUAAUAUAAUAAUGUGAAAUAAAUGCUAAUUUAAUCAAAUUAUUAUUGACUUUAUUAUAAUUUAGAGUAAUUAAAAGACGUUUACAUUGCAGAUGUUACAUAUAUUCUUUGUAUCAUGAAAGGAAAAGGGUUAAAUCCCAAAAUUAAAAAGACAACCCAUCCAAGAAUAACUAAAAAAUUAAUAAUAAAUAUGUGCAAAAUGUCAUAAAAUCACUAAUACUAACUGUAAGUUUAAAAAUAUACUAAAAAAAAAAAAAAAAAUAAGUUUAAUCCAAGUGAUUUUCAUCCUGCGCAUUAUCCAAGUGAUUCUACAAUUGCCAAUCAAAAUCUCCCAGAAGAAAACUUAACUGACGCCCCAAAAC